CUAUCGCCACCUAGUGGUAAAACCCCAUAUCAAUCUCCACACUGACUUCCUGGUUCACAAAAACAGGAUCCUUGACUCAUUUAGGUUUCUUUUUUGUUGUUGAUCAUAUCGGCUAGGGUUCUCCAACCCUGUUCCUGGAGAGCUACCCUCCUGUAGGUUUUAACUCCAACCCUGUUCCUGGAGAGAGACCCUCCUGUAGGUUAACUCCAACCCUGUUCCUGGAGAGCUACCCUCCUGUAGGUUAACUCCAACCCUGUUCCUGGAGAGCUACCCUCCUGUAGGUUAACUCCAACCCUGUUCCUGGAGAGCUACCCUCCUGUAGGUUUUAACUCAAACCCUGUUCCUGGAGAGCUACCCUCCUGUAGGUUUUAACUCCAACCCUGUUCCUGGAGAGAGACCCUCCUGUAGGUUUUAACUCCAACCCUGUUCCUGGAGAGAGACCCUCCUGUAGGUUUUAACUCCAACCCUGUUCCUGGAGAGAGACCCUCCUGUAGGUUUUAACUCCAACCCUGUUCCUGGAGAGAGACCCUCCUGUAGGUUUUAACUCCAACCCUGUUCCUGGAGAGAGACCCUCCUGUAGGUUUUAACUCCAACCCUGUUCCUGGAGAGAGACCCUCCUGUAGGUUUUAACUCCAACCCUGUUCCUGGAGAGAGACCCUCCUGUAGGUUUUAACUCCAACCCUGUUCCUGGAGAGAGACCCUCCUGUAGGUUUUAACUCCAACCCUGUUCCUGGAGAGAGACCCUCCUGUAGGUUUUAACUCCAACCCUGUUACUGGAGAGAGACCCUCCUGUAGGUUUUAACUCCAACCCUGUUCCUGGAGAGAGACCCUCCUGUAGGUUUUAACUCCAACCCUGUUACUGGAGAGAGACCCUCCUGUAGGUUUUAACUCCAACCCUGUUCCUGGAGAGAGACCCUCCUGUAGGUUUUAACUCCAACCCUGUUCCUGGAGAGAGACCCUCCUGUAGGUUUUAACUCCAACCCUGUUCCUGGAGAGAGACCCUCCUGUAGGUUUUAACUCCAACCCUGUUCCUGGAGAGAGACCCUCCUGUAGGUUUUAACUCCAACACUGUUCCUGGAGAGCUACCCUCCUGUAGGUUUUAACUCCAACCCUGUUCCUGGAGAGCUACCCUCCUGUAGGUUUCAACUCCAACCCUGUUCCUGGAGAGCUACCCUCCUGUAGGUUCACUCCAACCCUGUUCUUGGAGAGCUACUCUCCUGUAGGUUCACUCCAACCCUGCUCCUGGAGAGCUACCCUCCUGUAGGUUCACUCCAACCCUGCUCCUGGAGAGCUACCCUCCUGUAGGUUUCAACUCCAACCCUGUUCCUGGAGAGCUACCCUCCUGUAGGUUCACUCCAACCCUGCUCCUGGAGAGCUACCCUCCUGUAGGUUCACUCCAACCCUGCUCCUGGAGAGCUACCCUCCUGUAGGUUCACUCCAACCCUGUUCCUGGAGAGCUACCCUCCUGUAGGUUCACUCCAACCCUGCUCCUGGAGAGCUACCCUCCUGUAGGU